rnacentral:rRNA from 1 species
UACGUAGGGACCAAGCGUUGUUCGGAUUUACUGGGCGUAAAGGGCGCGUAGGCGGCUUAACAAGUCACUUGUGAAAUCUCCGGGCUUAACUCGGAACGGCCAAGUGAAACUGUCAAGCUAGAGUGCAGAAGGGGCAAUCGGAAUUCUUGGUGUAGCGGUGAAAUGCGUAGAUAUCAAGAGGAACACCUGAGGUGAAGACGGGUUGCUGGGCUGACACUGACGCUGAGGCGCGAAAGCAUGGGGAGCGAACAGG